rnacentral:tRNA from 2 species
UCCCUCGUGGCGCAAUUGGCUAGCGCGUUCGACUGUUAUUACCUCUAGAGCAUCGAGAGGUUGGUGGUUCGAGCCCACCCGAGGGAG